UGCAAGUCGCACGAGAAAGGGGCUUCGGCCCUGAGUAAAGUGGCGCACGGGUGAGUAACACGUGAAUUAUCUACCUCCGAGUGGGGAAUAACCUAGAGAAAUCUGGGCUAAUACCGCAUAACACUUACGAGUCAAAGCAGCAAUGCGCUUGGAGAGGAGUUCGCGGCCGAUUAGCUAGUUGGCGGGGUAAUGGCCCACCAAGGCGAUGAUCGGUAUCCGGCCUGAGAGGGCGCACGGACACACUGGAACUGAAACACGGUCCAGACUCCUACGGGAGGCAGCAGUGGGGAAUUUUGCGCAAUGGGGGAAACCCUGACGCAGCAACGCCGCGUGGAGGAUGAAAUAUCUUGGUAUGUAAACUCCUUUCGAUGGGGAAGAUUAUGACGGUACCCAUAGAAGAAGCCCCGGCUAACUUCGUGCCAGCAGCCGCGGUAAUACGAGGGGGGCAAGCGUUGUUCGGAUUUAUUGGGCGUAAAGGGUGCGUAGGCGGUUUGGCAAGUCUUAUGUGAAAUCUUCGGGCUCAACCCGAAGUCUGCAUAAGAAACUGCCGGGCUUGAGUAUGGGAGAGGUGAGUGGAAUUUCCGGUAUAGCGGUGAAAUGCGUAGAUAUCGGAAGGAACACCUGUGGCGAAAGCGGCUCACUGGACCAUAACUGACGCUGAGGCACGAAAG
rnacentral:rRNA from 1 species